rnacentral:rRNA from 1 species
GUUGUUUUCUCGAAAAUCAAUUAAAAAUGGCUUGAUUUUGUGUUGUAUUGACCUUAAAAGCUUUCUGCACUUUUUUCAUGUCUUUUUUAAUGCACUUUUCGUUUAACAAGUCAACAUCAGUUUCUUUUGUUGUAAAAAGGUCAUUGGAAGGUGGCUUUCUUUUCGGAGAAAGUGUUUAUAGCCUUUGACUCCUGCAAUCGGAGAGACUGAGGUCUGCAGCGUAGAUCCUUCUUGGAUUAGAUUCAUUUGUGCUAAGUUAUAGCUUUUUAUAGACAACUUGUUGACUAUAUUUAGUCUUGUAGCUUACUCGCUUAUGCAAUUUUACCUAC